rnacentral:rRNA from 1 species
GACGUUAGCGACAGAAGAAGCACCGGCUAACUCCGUGCCAGCAGCCGCGGUAAUACGGAGGGUGCGAGCGUUAAUCGGAAUUACUGGGCGUAAAGCGCAUGCAGGUGGUUGUUAAGUCAGAUGUGAAAGACCCGGGGCGUCAACCUCGGAAUUGCAUUUGAAACUGGCAGACUAGAGUACUGUAGAGGGGGGUAGGAAGUUUCAGGUGUAGCGGUGAAAUGCGUAGAGAUCUGAAGGAAUACCGGUGGCGAAGGCGGCCCCCUCGGACAGAUACUGACACUCAGAUGCGAAAGCGUGGGGAGCAAACAGGAUUAGAUACCCUGGUAG